UGAAGGAAUCAUCUGAGGUCUAAGUGUUGACUUUCAGUCCUCAUACUUCCACUGACAAACAAUGCAGCCUUGGGUGACACAUGAAACUUUAUGUUCACAACCUAUUUCUUUAACUGUGUUGAUGUUCAUGAAGUGAGAAAGCAAUGCCUCACAUUUAUUAAAAAGUGAAUGAUUUUCCUUCUCUAGCCUUUUGGUAAAAAGGAUGCAUUUCACUGCUCAUUUAACAUAUGCAGCAUCUUUUAUUUGUGUUUUGCACUGAAGAGAAGUGAAUAUUUAAAACAUUAUUAUUUAACAUAUCGACACCACUAAUUCAUCAAAGUCCAGUUAGCUUUGUGGCUAUGUUAAUCAUAAAAGUAGAUGGGAUGAACACUUUACUUUUUAAUUUUGAU